rnacentral:RNase_P_RNA from 1 species
GGAGUCGGACAGGCCGUCGCUCCUGGCUUCCAGGGGAGGAAAGUCCGGACACCACAGGGCAGGAUGCUGGAUAACGUCCAGCGGGGGCGACCCCGGGAGAAGGGCCACAGAAACAGACCGCCUGCGCUCCCGCGCAGGUAAGGGUGAAAAGGUGGGGUAAGAGCCCACCAGAUGCCGUGGUGACACGGCAUGCUCGGCAACCCCCAUCCGGUGCAAGACCAAAUAGGAAGGCGGCUGGCCCGGCCCAUGCCUUCGGGUAGGUUGCUUGAGGCGGCGGGUAACCGCCGUCCCAGAGAAAUGACGGCCACCCGCGUUGGCGGGCACAGAAUCCGGCUUAUCGUCCGACUCCGUUU